GACAAGGCCCGCAAAACCGGCCCAACCCACUAAAACCGCAAAAAAAAACCGACAUGGUACGGAUCUGGGCGGUUUUCUAGACCCGCGGGUCUGUUUUACGGGUUCUUGUGACUACAUAUGGUCGGGUUCGGUUCACUAAAAUGAAACCACGGAUACCCGAACCGAAAUAGAUAUAAUAAAAUAAUAUUUUAAUAUUGUAAAUUAAAAACGCAGCGUUUUGCCUUUUUUUUAGGGUUAGAUCUCAGUUACACUACACACUUACUCCUCUAUCUCUCUCUCAUUCAGCCAUUUCUUUUCUUUCUUCUUUCACUCUCAAAUAACAUACAAAACUCAAACCCUAAUCUAAUGGAUUUGCCGCCGCCGAGACCACCACCACCACCAUAAACCCCCUGUCUUCCUCGCCUCAGCACCACCCACAAAUAUUAAUCGAUCAUUUCUCACCCUUGUUUCGUUUUUUUGUUUAGCAUAUGAACGUUACUCUCCAGUUCAACAAAACAAAGGGUUUUAGUUUCAUUUUCCAGAUCUGCCGUGAAAGUUGAAAGGUAUGCAAGAAGGCAUGUAAGAAGCUUCAUGAUUAGAGGAUAGAAAAAAAAAGAUUGUUCUUAAAUUCUUGAUUAGUGAAUUCUUGUGUUAGUAUUUUCCUUUGUAUUUUUUAGUUUUUGUAUGAGUUUUUCUUUCCUUGUCUCUUUCCCAUGUAUUUUUUAUUAUGCAGGUGACAAUUCUUAAUGUUCAAGGAGCAUUGUGAAAGUCAAUUGAUGGAGAUUCAGAUUUUUCAUUUAAUGUAGUUACUUUUUUCAUUUUAUGUAGUUAAUUGAAAAAAAUCAAAAGAAACAAUGGAUUGUAAUA